rnacentral:rRNA from 1 species
AUACAGAGGGUGCAAGCGUUAAUCGGAAUUACUGGGCGUAAAGCGUGCGUAGGUGGUUUGUUAAGUUAGAUGUGAAAGCCCCGGGCUCAACCUGGGAACUGCAUUUGAAACUGGCAUACUAGAGUAUAGGAGAGGAAAGUGGAAUUUCAGGUGUAGCGGUGAAAUGCGUAGAUAUCUGAAGGAACAUCAAUGGCGAAGGCAGCUUUCUGGACUAAUACUGACACUGAGGUACGAAAGCGUGGGUAGCAAACAGGAUUAGAAACCCUAGUAGUCC